rnacentral:rRNA from 1 species
GGAUUAGAUACCCUGGUAGUCCACGCUGUAAACGAUGAUCACUCGAUGUACACGCUAGUCGUGUGUGUCCAAGCGAAAGCAUUAAGUGAUCCACCUGGGAAGUACGCUCGCAAGAGUGAAACUCAAAGGAAUUGACGGGAGUCCGCACAAGCGGUGGAGCAUGUGGUUUAAUUCGAUGAUACGCGAGGAACCUUACCUGGGCUCGAAUGUCUCUGCUACCUCGAGAAAUCGAGGGUUCCUUCGGGACAGAGUACAAGGUGCUGCAUGGCUGUCGUCAGCUCGUGCCG